rnacentral:rRNA from 1 species
UACGUAGGGUGCGAGCGUUGUCCGGAAUUAUUGGGCGUAAAGAGCUCGUAGGCGGUUUGUCGCGUCUGCCGUGAAAGUCCGGGGCUCAACUCCGGAUCUGCGGUGGGUACGGGCAGACUAGAGUGAUGUAGGGGAGACUGGAAUUCCUGGUGUAGCGGUGAAAUGCGCAGAUAUCAGGAGGAACACCGGUGGCGAAGGCGGGUCUCUGGGCCGAUACUGACGCUGAGGAGCGAAAGCGUGGGGAGCAAACAGG